rnacentral:tRNA from 1 species
GCUCGUGUGGUGGAAUAGGCAGACGCAAGGGACUUAAAAUCCCUCGGGAUAACACCCGUGCCGGUUCAAGUCCGGCCACGAGCACCA